rnacentral:rRNA from 1 species
CCUACGGGUGGCAGCAGUGAGGAAUAUUGGUCAAUGGACGAGAGUCUGAACCAGCCAAGUAGCGUGAAGGAUGACUGCCCUAUGGGUUGUAAACUUCUUUUAUAUGGGAGUAAAAUGUUCCAAGUGUGGGAUUUUGUAUGUACCAUAUGAAUAAGGAUCGGCUAACUACGUGCCAGCAGCCGCGGUAAUACGGAGGAUCCGAGCGUUAUCCGGAUUUAUUGGGUUUAAAGGGAGCGUAGGUGGAUUGUUAAGUCAGUUGUGAAAGUUUGCGGCUCAACCGUAGAAGUGCAGUUGAAACUGGCAGUCUUGAGUACAGUAGAGGUGAGCGGAAUUCGUGGUGUAGCGGUGAAAUGCUUAGAUAUCACGAAGAACGCCGAUUGCGAAGGCAGUUCACUGGACUGCAACUGACACUGAGGCUCGAAAGUGUGGGUAUCAAACAGGAUUAGAUAUCCGUGUAGUC